AGUGCAGUACAGUGCAGUCUAAUGAACAUUUACCCAGUUUCAUUUCGUCUCCCCUGGACACGGCUUGGUUUCGGGGAUAGUGCCGCGCUUCGUCUUUUUCAAUGAGGAAUAUCUGAAUGCGUUAAACGCGUAUAUUCAACGCUAGUUGUUGUAGAGAAACAGCCCUCUAUCCGGCUCGCUGACUUUGUUUUUGUUUUCUUUUUCGUUACCUUCAUUGAUGUGGCCGAACUAGUGAGGAGCUCGAGCUAGCGGACAGAUAAAACAGCAGCCGGACGCGGACUGUUCUCUCUCGGGGCGCUUCAUUCUCUGGAGGGGGAAGAAGAAGAAGAAGAACACAACGACGACGACGACGAAGAAGAAGAAGUAGUCGAAGAAGAACAAGAAGGAGAGGAGAAAGAAUAAGACGGUCCGAGAGAAAGUGAUAAUCGUUACCAGUCCGUCGCUCAGAAUGAAUAACAACAAGAUCGAGAAGGAGAACGAGCAAAAUGAAUUCAGCAAUCACGAGGAGGAGGUCCGAACACUAUUCGUCAGUGGGCUACCGCUUGAUAUCAAGCCACGGGAGCUCUACCUUCUGUUCAGACCUUUUAAGGGCUACGAAGGCUCCCUGAUCAAACUAACUUCAAAACAGCCGGUGGGGUUUGUCAGCUUUGACAGCAGAUCAGAGGCAGAGGCUGCUAAGAAUGCCUUGAACGGUGUCCGGUUUGAUCCGGAGAUCCCCCAGACCCUGCGGCUGGAGUUUGCCAAGGCCAACACCAAGAUGGCCAAGAACAAGCUGGUUGGUACUCCCAACCCCCCUCCCUCCCAGCAGAGCCCGGGGCCACAGUUCAUCAGCAGAGACCCAUAUUCGCUGGCUCCCACCUGCAGAUGGCACUCCUCAGGGAUGGAAGUCCAGGCAGUUCUGCUGAAGUAUGUGUUCCUGAUGUGUGAUGGUGGCCGUGGCCGGCCGUAACGGGUGUUGCUGACUGCUUCUUGUGUCCUAUUAGAAACCAGAAGGACUGACCUGACCCUACCCCUCUGAGCAGCGGACCGCCGGGAGCAGCAGCAGCCUUAUGGGCCUCAGGACAUACUAGACCCCAGCCUCCAUCACACAUCGACCCCCCCCUUGUUAACCCCAUCCCUCUUUUUUUAUACUGUUACAUACUCGAAAAAAAUUCUUUUUGUGAAACUUUGGCUACACUUCCUACAUCGCCUGCCUUAUGUCAACACAGAGCGGUGCUGGCCACGCAGGCGAAAAAGACACAAAAGCCCAUCGUUCACUGUCCGGCUUCAUCACCUCUGUACCGUACUGUACACGGGCGGUCUGCUGUGCACAUGUACGUGCGCAGGUGUAAAGACGGUGCGGUCGACGUUGUACAUGUGGGAAGCUUCCCCGAGGUCUGGGACUAAUUUAUGCAGCCAUUCGGGAGGCCUCGCGUAUGGGCGUGUAACCAAAGUGCAACCAGGCCAUGUUAUUAUAUGAUCAUUACUAUUCUGUAUAUCAUUCAUAUUAAUGUUAUUAUGAUUAUUAAAUACAUGUUGAAGCAUGACUUUGCAACAAAAAAAAGAGAAAAAAAAACAACAACAACGAUGCUGUACAUUUUUAGAUAUUUUAAAGAAAUACAAAAUUGUAUUUUUGUAAUCAAGGCAAUGUUUGAAACGGUCCUGUUCGAUUGGUUAAUGUUGUGCUUAGGUUUUGUGAGGAAACUGUAAACCUCUACUUUUCCUACUAUGUCCCCCCCCCCCCUUCUUUCGUAUUUGUGCCAUUAUAACAUGGACGGUAGCCCUGCUACACCAAAGCAGUCUCGUCGGUUUGCUAUAUAGUCUUUUUCUUCAUGCUGUGUGGAAAAUGUUAGGUCAUGUGUAACCCCCCCACCCCACCCCCCUCGAGGCGUACUUAACCCCGGUGAUGUGCCGCAAUAACGCAAAGUAUACCACCUCCCCACCUUGUUGGACCCCCCCCCCUCCCCUCAAGACACGCUUCGGUUGCACCGAGGAAGCAACCGUCCGGUUUCUCUCCCAGCGGAUUGAGCUGUGACUCGCGUGUGCAGCAGCCCUGCUGAAAUUCCAGUGAAGUCAAGUGACGUGCCGGGAGUCGGAGAGGGGGCAGACGAAGUGGCGGUAUAAAGACAUUGACAGGAUUAAGCCAUCACUGGUGAAGGUGGGGUGACCCCAGAGACUGCAACGCAUGGCAAACUAAGCCCUGCUAUAAUUAGAGAACGACUCCUAGGUUGUGCAGAGGGAGGACGGCGGCGCAGUACAGAGAAACAAAAAAGACCAAAGGCAUUUUCUCCCCCCCCCCCCUACACUGGAGAGCUAUCUGGACUGGCGGAGUUAUUCCAGUUCUCGACUGCUUUGUACUCCUCAAUCUGAAUUCUUAUGAAGUUUGACAUUAUUAUUGUUAUAUAUAUAUUUUUUUUUUCUUGGCUGCAUGUCUCUCUUGGUGUCACUCCAAAGAGUAUCUCCAUAUCUGAAAGGAUAGUCAUGUAAACGGUUUUUUUUUUUUUUUGUUUUUUAUCUGUUGUCUAUUUUUAGGGGAAACGAUGUGAUCUGAUUUUUUUUUGUUUUUUGUAAAAUAUAGAUUUAUAUUGUUAAUGAUCGGAGUGAAAACAAGAACGUUUUUGUAAUUUUGUCUUUACUGGGCCUGCAAUAACCUUCUUCUUUUUUUUCCCUCCUCCUCGUAUGAGAGAUGUCUGCACAGGACUAUUAGUGUGACAUUUCGAGGCCAAACGUCGCAUGGAGACAAUACGUCCUGUAGUUUUAUGGGUCCACCCGGCGGAUGUGUCACAAGAUCACGGUGAUGUGACAAUCACAAACUCAAGAAGAAGAAAAAAAAUAUCCUCUAACCUGACAAUGUUCAAUCUUGUGUCCACAAUCAUUGGACUGGCUGUGUAAUAUAUCCAAUAUCUACUAUGUCUUGACUAUAGAACUAGGUACAUAAUAUCAAACCAUAGAGGGAUUUAUUUUAUUUAUUUCAUUUUUUUGUCUUUUUCCUCUCCUUUUUUUUCUCCUCCCACAUUGUAUCCGGCCAAUUAUCCUAUUUUCCGAGCCGUCCCGGUUUCUGCUCCACCCCCCUCUGCCUAACCGGGGAGGACUGCGGACUGCCACGUGCCUCCUCCGAUACAUGUGUAGUCGCCAGCCGCUUCUUUUCACCUGACAGUGAGGAGUUUCACCAGGGGGACGUAGCGCGUGGGAGGAUCACGCUACCCCCCCCCCCCGAACAGGCGCCCCGACUGGCCAGAGGAGGCGCUAGUGCAGCGACCAGGACACAUACCCACAUCCAGCUUCCCACCCGCAGACACGGGUCAAUUGUGUCUGUAGGGACGCCCGACCAAGCCGGAGAUAACGCGGGGAUUCGAACCGGCGAUCCCCGUGUCGGUAGGCAACGAAAUAGACCGCUACGCUCCCCGGACACCCAUAGGGGGAUUUAUGAAGCGAUUUUUGUUUUGAUUCAGAUGCAGUUGUGUUUUUUUUUUGUUGCAUCGAGUGUUGCGCCAAGUUUCCUAGAACAAAUAUUUACUCUCUGUGUACGCGCGCGCGCGCGCGCGUGUUUGUUUUGUUGGUAUUUUAAGACGCCCGCAGACGUUGCCUGCCCUAUAAUUCAAUAUUAUUGCGAGUUUGACUGUUUAUCCGUUUUGGUGGUUUGAAAAAAAAGCUCCUCGUUGUGUCCGUAAGUGAACGAGCGGAGCCAGCGUGAUCGUGAACACUGCUUUACCUUGAUAAAGUCACUGUGAAGUCGAGAGGGGAGGACGCGCUCGUCCAGCAGACCGCCGGGACGGGUUCUGGUCGCCAGCUGCAAGGCGGAGUGUCCUGAUACGAUGAUUCCCCCCCCUCCCCCCUCCUCCUCCAUCAGAGGAAACCUUAUAUCCCUUUAUCGUUUGAAUCUUCGUGAGUGCCCGUGUGCUCUGUGCACGGCACGUGAGCGUGCACGCGUGUGUGUGCGUGUGGGUUUUUAUUUUUAGGUUUCUAUUUUCUCCAUAAUGCGUACAGUACUGUUGAUAUUUAUGUAUUUCAGCCGCUGUGAGGAGAUACUGUUUCAGUGAAUUGCAUAGGUUUGUUUGUUUGUAACCAAAAAAAAAAAUGUUGAUCAAAGAAAGUUUUUAUGAAAAUGAAAAAAAAAUGUUAAAUGAAGACAUUUCAGGCCAUCAGCCAUUAAAGAUUGACAUCAUCCCUGCUGUGGUGCACGGUUUCUUGUCUCCUCCUACACGUGAGUGUGUGUGCUUGGCGGAGCACGCUCGCCGCAAUGAACGGAGCGAAACUCAAAUCCGAGGCCUUGUUUGUUGAAUCAGGCACAUGUGAAGAAACCCCGAGAGCCGAGACCAAACCCCGACUCCUCUCCGAGGUCUCCUGUAGCGUCCAUACCAACCACAUUCUCGGGCACGUCCGUAAAAGUAAAAAAAGAAAUAUAUCUC